CCUACGGGUGGCAGCAGUGGGGAAUAUUGGGUAAUGGGCGCAAGCCUGACCCAGCAACGCCGCGUGAAGGAAGAAGGCUUUCGGGUUGUAAACUUCUUUUGUCAGGGAAGAGUAGAAGACUGUACCUGACGAAUAAGCCACGGCUAACUACUUUCCAGCAGCCGCGGUAAUACGUAGGUGGCAAGCGUUGUCCGGAUUUACUGGGUGUAAAGGGCGUGUAGCCGGGUUGACAAGUCAGUUGUGAAAUCCUGCGGCUUAACCGCAGAACUGCAUUUGAAACUGUUGAUCUUGAGUACUGGAGAGGCAGACGGAAUUCCUAGUGUAGCGGUGAAAUGCGUAGAUAUUAGGAGGAACACCAGUGGCGAAGGCGGUCUGCUGGACAGCAACUGACGGUGAGGCGCGAAAGCGUGGGGAGCAAACAGGAUUAGAUACCCGAGUAGUC
rnacentral:rRNA from 1 species